rnacentral:rRNA from 1 species
CACGCUGUAAACGAUCAAUACUAGGUGUGCGGGGACUGACCCCCUGCGUGCCGGAGUUAACACAAUAAGUAUUGCACCUGGGGAGUACGAUCGCAAGGUUGAAACUCAAAGGAAUUGACGGGGGCCCGCACAAGCGGCGGAGCAUGCGGAUUAAUUCGAUGCAACGCGAAGAACCUUACCAAGGCUUGACAUAUAGAGGAAACGGCCAGAGAUGGUCGCCCCGCAAGGUCUCUAUACAGGUGG